rnacentral:rRNA from 1 species
CUACGGGAGGCAGCAGUGGGGAAUAUUGCACAAUGGGCGCAAGCCUGAUGCAGCGACGCCGCGUGAGGGAUGACGGCCUUCGGGUUGUAAACCUCUUUCACCAGGGACGAAGCGCAAGUGACGGUACCUGGAGAAGAAGCACCGGCCAACUACGUGCCAGCAGCCGCGGUAAUACGUAGGGUGCGAGCGUUGUCCGGAAUUACUGGGCGUAAAGAGCUCGUAGGCGGUUUGUCGCGUCGUCUGUGAAAUUCUGCAACUCAAUUGUAGGCGUGCAGGCGAUACGGGCAGACUUGAGUACUACAGGGGAGACUGGAAUUCCUGGUGUAGCGGUGAAAUGCGCAGAUAUCAGGAGGAACACCGGUGGCGAAGGCGGGUCUCUGGGUAGUAACUGACGCUGAGGAGCGAAAGCGUGGGUAGCGAACAGGAUUAGAAACCCGAGUAGUCC